GACGAACGCUGGCGGCGUGCUUAACACAUGCAAUUCGAACGGAAAGGCCCUGCUUUUGUGGGGUGCUCGAGUGGCGAACGGGUGAGUAACACGUGAGUAACCUGCCCUUGACUUUGGGAUAACUUCAGGAAACUGGGGCUAAUACCGGAUAGGAGCUCCUGCUGCAUGGUGGGGGUUGGAAAGUUUCGGCGGUUGGGGAUGGACUCGCGGCUUAUCAGCUUGUUGGUGGGGUAGUGGCUUACCAAGGCUUUGACGGGUAGCCGGCCUGAGAGGGUGACCGGCCACAUUGGGACUGAGAUACGGCCCAGACUCCUACGGGAGGCAGCAGUGGGGAAUAUUGCACAAUGGGCGGAAGCCUGAUGCAGCAACGCCGCGUGCGGGAUGACGGCCUUCGGGUUGUAAACCGCUUUCGCCUGUGACGAAGCGUGAGUGACGGUAAUGGGUAAAGAAGCACCGGCUAACUACGUG
rnacentral:rRNA from 1 species